AUUAUUGGACAAUGGGGGGAACCCUGAUCCAGCCAUGCCGCGUGUGUGAAGAAGGCCUUAUGGUUGUAAAGCACUUUAAGCGAGGAGGAGGCUCCUGUAGUUAAUACCUACAGUGAGUGGACGUUACUCGCAGAAUAAGCACCGGCUAACUCUGUGCCAGCAGCCGCGGUAAUACAGAGGGUGCGAGCGUUAAUCGGAUUUACUGGGCGUAAAGCGUGCGUAGGCGGCUUUUUAAGUCGGAUGUGAAAUCCCCGAGCUUAACUUGGGAAUUGCAUUCGAUACUGGGAAGCUAGAGUAUGGGAGAGGAUGGUAGAAUUCCAGGUGUAGCGGUGAAAUGCGUAGAGAUCUGGAGGAAUACCGAUGGGGAAGGCAGCCAUCUGGCCUAAUACUGACGCUGAGGUACGAAAGCAUGGGGAGCAAACAGGAUUAGAUACCCUGGUAGUCCAUGCCGUAAACGAUGUCUACUAGCCGUUGGGGCCUUUGAGGCUUUAGUGGCGCAGCUAACGCGAUAAGUAGACCGCCUGGGGAGUACGGUCGCAAGACUAAAACUCAAAUGAAUUGACGGGGGCCCGCACAAGUACGGGAGCAUGCAGUUAAUAAGAUGCAACAAGAAGAACCUUACUUGGUC
rnacentral:rRNA from 1 species